AUGGCAAAUUUACCUAAAUUCCCAUGGCAAUUUUUAACUUUUAUUGCCAUGGCAAGAUUUACUAUUCAUUUGAUCUUUAUUAACAUGGCAAAAUUUACUUUCAUUUUUGCAUGCCAAUUAUUAAUUUUUCUACACCAUGGCAAAAUUAACGUUUUAUUGCCAUGGCAAAUUUUCCUUUUAUUUCCCAUGAUUUUUUAUUUAAUUUCCAUGGCAAUUUUAAUUUUUGUCACUCAUGGCAAACAUACUUCUAUGCAGCAUGGCAAGUUUUACUUUUAUUUUGCCAUGGCAAAAAUACAUAGAAAACACGACAAUUAUUACUAA
rnacentral:rRNA from 1 species